rnacentral:tRNA from 1 species
AAUUAAUUAACUUAUAAUAAAGUAUUUGUUUUGAAAACUUAAAAAAGAAAUUCAAUUUUCUAUUAAUUU